rnacentral:rRNA from 1 species
AUUGAACGCUGGCGGCAUGCUUUACACAUGCAAGUCGAACGGCAGCGCGGCUUUGGCCUUGCGGGGAGGUGCGAACGGGUGGGGAAUACAUCGGAACGGUCCCAGGAGUGGGGGGUAGCUCGGCGAAAGCCGGAUUAAUACCGCAUACGACCUGAGGGGUGAAGCGGGGGAUCUUUGGAACUCGCGCUUUUGGGGGGGCCGAUGGCCGGUUAGCUAGUUGGGGGGGUAAAGGGCUACCAAGGCGACGAUCUGUAGCUGGUUUGAGAGGACGACCAGCCACACUGGGACUGAGACACGGCCCAGACUCCUACGGGAGGCAGCAGUGGGGAAUUUUGGACAAUGGGCGAAAGCCUGAUCCAGCAAUGCCGCGUGUGUGAUGAAGGCCUUCGGGUUGUAAAGCACUUUUGGCGGGAACGAAAAGGACUGUGCCAAUACCACGGUUCGAUGACGGUACCCGCAGAAUAAGCACCGGCUAACUACGUG